UGAGAUGAAAGGGAUAAGGUAAUAUGAUAAUACUCGAUCUGUUUCGAAUUAUAAGUCGAGUUGAUUUUUUUGGUACAUUGAAUUUGCAAUGUAUGUAGACUAGCAAAUUCGAUGUACCAAAAAAGUCAAACUGACUUAUAAUUUGAUGAAAUGGAUGGAGUACUAAAGAAUAGUUGCCUCCCAUUGCUUA
rnacentral:pre_miRNA from 1 species